CUCAAUAUACCCCCCAGCCUUCGGCCCUCCAGAACUGAUCCUAGAAUGCCACACCUUUGUCUCUGAUCAGUUUGUCCCUAAGACUGUGGCUGAGAGUGAGAGACUGUGAGACAGUUACAGAAACAUAGAAGAAAACAUCCAUGGAUGUACUGACAAUCCCAGAGACAGAAUUAUCUUCAGUCACACAGAUCCACACAUCCAGAAAUCCCUGUAGGGAAAAGAGAUUGUUUUUUUACCUCCAAGGUACAGAAGAAAAAGGGAAGGAUUGUUGUGAGAAAAGCUCUGUAAACCUGUAUGAUCUAUUAAAAUGAUCGAAUGAAAUGUGAAUUAAGGGAAUGCCAUAAAUGUGGAUCUCUGCAAAGGAUUUGACAAAGUCUCUUGUGCUUUUGUGAUGAGUGAGAUGAAGAUAAAGGGAUUAGAUACAUUUGGGAAGAUUCAGAACUAGUUAGAUGCCUGGACCCAGACACUAGAUGAGUGACUCCAUUGGAUCUUGAAUAUUGGAGUGCAGAGGAGAGGGGAGCUUGGUCCUUUGUUCAUCUAUUCCCUCCCGAGAAGAAAUAUGGAAGGAAGAAGAAAGGAAGGCAGAGAAGGUGGAAAGGAGAGAGGGAGAAAGGAAGAAAAAAAGAGAGAAGGAA
rnacentral:lncRNA from 1 species